AGAGGGCACAGCAGUCACUGAGCCAGGAGCAGACGGGGCAGGUGGUCUCCAUGCUCGAGGCCUGGUGCCGGGGAGAGGCCCAGAUCCCCUCUAUCCACUGGGAUGGCAUGGCCGUGGUGUCCCUCACUGUGGCCCUGGCUGCCGCCUUCCUCAGCGCCCUCCACCCCAACAACCUGGCUGCCUCCCUCUAUAGACUGACCACCCUGAUGGGGCAGGGGCGACAUGAGGAAGUGGCCAGCCGAUGUAACACUCUUCUGGAGGUCGACGCCCCAGGAUCCCUGGAGCUGCGGCUCAUGCGAGCUCUGGCCUGGAUCCUGUCUGGGGCCAAAGUGGGUGAUGGCAUCAUAGAGUACCUCCAGGCCUUCGUCACAUAUGCCAACCAGACUCUGGGCUUUAUCCUCUCUCACCAACGGGACCACCUCCCCCUGCUCAUCCACGCCUGCCAGGAUUUCCUCCUGGAGCAGCACCAGGCAGAGGCAGCUGGAGGCCAGUGGGUCAGUGAGUGUCACUGCUUCCUAGCUGCCCUGGCCCCCAGAGAGACCCAGGCAACCUCCACACAGGUUGUGUCUCUGCUCAGGAUAGGCAGAUUGGAGGAGUGCGUGACCAUGUGCAGUCACAUCCUUGAAUCAACCUCGGCUGGCGGCAAACUCCAAGGAGAGUGUCCAUCCGUCCUGCUGGUCACUCGGGCAGCAGCCUCUUUCUGCCUUGGUCGCCGGAGCCGGGAGAUACUUCAGGACCUCCAGGAAGCCUUCCGGCUGAACCCGGACCAUGCAAAGAGGCAGUUGGAGGAGGUGUUCUCACCCAGAGACAUGGAUCAGAUCCUGGCGCAGGCCCAGGAGAUAUUGGAGAGGGACUUUUCCCUUUUCAGAGAGGCAGUGAGAGCUCGCGUGGAGCUCCGAGCCGAUGGGGGCACAGAGCUACUGCCUCCUAUCAUACACACCCUGCGCUUCCUCCUAUGUGUGGCUCCCCUCGGGGCCCAGCGGGAGCUGACUGUCCGGCUCAUUGACUGCCUGCUGUUGUCUGGUGACAGCCACGCUGCCCUGGGGCUCUGCGAUCGCCUCCUUGGGUCCGAGCACCCCACCUACCUCAGCACCUUGCUCACGCUUCGGGGUUUCUGCACCCUCCAUGCAGGGGAGGCAGGGCGAGCC
rnacentral:lncRNA from 1 species